CCCUUAGAUGUUCUGGGCCGCACGCGCGCUACACUGAUUCAUGCAACAAGUUUUAUCCUUGGCUGAUAGGCCUGGGUAAUCUUUGAACGUGAAUCGUGAUGGGGAUAGAUGAUUGCAAUUAUUCAUCUUCAACGAGGAAUUCCUAGUAAACGCAAGUCAUCAGCUUGCAUUGAUUACGUCCCUGCCCUUUGUACACACCGCCCGUCGCACCUACCGAUUGAAUGGUCCGGUGAAAUCUUCGGAUCUGAGAGAUGUCUGAUUAAUUUCGGACGCCUUUUGGAAAAGUUGCUUAAACCUUACCAUUUAGAGGAAGGUGAAGUCGUAACA
rnacentral:rRNA from 1 species